rnacentral:rRNA from 1 species
AUGAGUUGUUUUCAGCUCACAAAGAAAACAUGCCGGAACUUGACUUCGAUCUCCUCGAAAUUCUGGUGGGGUGUAACGAAUGGUGAAAGGAAAGUGCAUUGGAUCUCUUGGCAAAAGAUGUGUGCUGCAAAGAGGGUUGGUGGUCUGGGGUUCCGUGACCCAAAGGCUUUCAAUCAAGCUUUGCUUGCGAAGCAAACCUGUAGAAUCCUGUAAGAACCAGACUCUUUAUGCGCGAAGGUCCUUAAAGCACGCUACUUCAAAGAAGAAACAAUCUUGUCGGCUACUUGCCCCUCUAAUGCUUCCUGCACUUACAGAAGUGUAUUACAUGGAACAGACCUUCUUCGAGAAGGACUGAUUUGGCAUAUAGGGGAUGGAUUUAAUAUUCAUAUUCGCCAUGACAAUUGGAUUCCGAGAAGAGGGAGUAUGAGAUCACUGGGUCAAAUCUUCGUGCCGGGAGUGACACGUGUGGCACACCUGCUCGCAGAUGAUGGGCGCGCAUGGGACUCAGCCAUAGUGAACGAAAUGUUCAGCCUUGAGUGA